AAGACUAUAGACCUGCGGAGUACCUGCGGAAGGAUCAUUACAAAAUACUCGGGGGCAUGACCGGUUACGGUUUACGCCCCUGCUGGAAGCGCCGGAAGGCGUCUGACGGCACAACCCUCUGUGAAAUUCCCCCGUUGCUUCGGCAGCUCCUCCCAGGAGUGGUAAGCCUGCCGGUGGCAUGACGGAAAAACUCGUUCUGAAAACUUGCACCUCGGUCUGAACAGCACAGUCGAAUGACUA
rnacentral:misc_RNA from 1 species